AAAAACUCAUAUUGUCUAAAAACGCUCAAACAUAUUUGUUAUGAUGGUAUGGAAAUAUUUAUCUGCUUCUGGUUUAGGGCCGCUUCAUCGUAUUAAUGAUACCAAGGAUCGGUACGUUUACCGAGGCAUUAUGGAAUCAUGCAGAAUGGGAAAUGGCACUUACGGGGGUCUUCCAACGGGACAAUGAUCCGAAGCAUACAAGGUCCUCAAAUCAAGAUGAAUGAAGUGGAUGUAAUGGAAUGGCCUCCACAGUCCCCAGACCCCAUAGAAAAUUUAUUGGAAAUUGUAAAAAAAAAAUUAUCAGAGUAAUGUGGCAAAUACUGAUCAAUUUUUUCAAAGACCUUGGAGGUAUGGAUAUUAAAGCAUACUCCAAACCAGAUACUGAGAGUUACGAGUAGGCUACAAAAUGCUUAGUUUUUCUUUUAUUUUUUUAAAAACAAUAUACCGUUUUCUUUGAGUUGCAAUUGUUUCGUCUUACUGAAUAUAGAUGUUAUAUCGUUUUUUAUAAACUUUAAACAAAGGAACUGAAAAAUUUUAAUAAAUUUGCUUUGCCUAAGUUCAUCAACAUCCAAUAUUUAAAAUGAACUUAAAACAGUAGGUCUCCGGCAAUUAUUGAGAGUAUUUUACUAUCAUAUUUCAGUUGCAAAUGUUUUGUCCGAUACUGUUUAUAUGACAUAUGCUCUCUUGUCGACGACUUAAUUGUGGAGAUAAGCGAAGUGAGAUUUUGUUAAUCAACUCGCAUUGCAUAUAAUUUUAUUAUUUACUAGAAAACGCUCGAGUUUCACUGUUGCGAUUGAAUGUAUAUCAGUAUUAAGGAAGUGUAUCGAUUUUUGCAAUGAGCUACGGAGCGCCGAACAUGCAAAAGUACCCUGUCGGAACAUUCUUCUUAGUUACUUCGAAGUUCCCCAAAUUUUUAAAGAAGCGGAGCUUGUCCGCAUAGAUUUUAGACUUUACAUAUACCCACAGGAAAAAGUCUAAUGGUGUGACAUCAUACGAUCUUGGUGGCCAAGCGACCGGCCCAAAUCCUGAUACGUACAACCGUUAAGUGAUCAAAACUAUAAUACCUUAUAUCAAUAGGUUUGAAGGGUAUACAAAUUCUGCAUUUGCAUUUAUGAACAAAAAUGAGAGAAUGAGAAAAAAAUAGAAUGAAAAAACCACACGUUUACUAAUGGAACUAUUAUUCACUUAACCAGAAGGCGUAACUUCUUUUAAAUGGAUUUAGCUAAGAUAGGCAGAACUUGAAAUCGAUCUCACCUUCCUAUCAACAUUUUUAAGUCAAUGGUAAUGUCAAUUCUAAACAAUUGCAGCAGCUCUUCGGAGUCGGAUUUAAUGAGCUCAUUUUCUAUGGAAGCAUCAUUUUUGAUUACUUGGAAUUGGAUCACACCAAAUGUUUGUUAUUAUAAAUAUAGUGAUAAGGAGAUUGUAUACAAAUAUGCGUUGUAUGUAUGUUAUAUGCGGGUAAAGCAUUCGAAUUGCAUAUAAAAGACUAAAUUGGCAAACGCUUCUUUUUUACUAUAAAAUGUAGAACGGCUUCGCCUUUAACUUCAGUAAACCUUUGGAAAUCUAUUGGCAAAGUUGUGGCAUAAUUUUUCUCUCAAAAACUACCAAAAUCAAAAAAUUCUAUAAACAAUGAGAUUCAUGUAUUUAUUGAUUAUCGUGUACAUUAGCAUAGCAGCUAUAAGUGCUCAAUGUGGACGAUGUCGUUCACGAGUAUACUACAAAAUAGUUAGGUGUGCUAUUUGCAAAACAAGACCAAACUGCAUUGUAAAUCAUCGCGGACAGUGCGUUGGAUAUUAUUACCGUGUGCGAGGAUAAUAGGCGAUGAAUCAAAGACAAUGAAUAAUAAUACGCAUAGGAUUAUGCCGCAAUAUUAAGUGUUAUAUCAUUUGUGUAACAAAAUUAUAAAAAAGAAAAAAUAAAAAUAGUUUGGUGUUUUUAAACUCAAGUGAAUUCACCUGUUAAAAUUUCUGAAAUUUUUUAGAAUAAACAUCACAGAUAUAUUUGUUGUUUUCAUAAAAUGAGUUUAUUAAAUUUAGGAAUCAAUUGGGUGACAGCUUGCUUGUUUUUUCAACAAUAUACAACGGUAAAAGAAAUUAAGUAAGGAUUUGACACUCUUCAGAUGAAGUUGAGUCAAAGUUUGUGAUUCUCUCUCAAAAAAACCAAAAGCAAAAAAUAUAAUAUAGUAAAAACAAUCGUUAACUACGCUAGAACAGCCCCCACAAUUCAAAAUAUUUUCCAAACCAGAAUUCUAUAUUUAUCGUUUAGUUUGUAUGGAAGAAAUAUGCUAUAGUGAUCCGAUAUAAAACUUUUUUGGAUAGUGUAAUAAUGCUUUGAAUAAUAUAAUUCAUUCAAUAACAAAAGGUUUCCAAACCAAAACUAAAUUUCGAUCAUUCAAGUUAAAUGACAGCUAUAAGCUAUAGUGGUCUGAUAUCAGCAGACCCGAGAAAUGAGCAGUUUUUUGGGAGAAGAAGGACGUGUGCAAAAAAUCGAGAGACUAGUUCGCAUAUAUAGAGAUAGACGGAUAUGGUUAAAUUAACUCAGCUCGUCACGCUGAUCACUUAUUUAUCAUUUUUGUUUCAUUUGGAUUCCGAUGUUUCCUUCAGGAUGUUUCAAACUAUAGGGCAAGCUUAGUACAACCUGUUCAUGGAAUAAAAAUUAGAUUAGAUCUACCAAUUGGGGUGACGUUACUUUGACAGCUUGUGACGGCCAUAUUUGUUUACGAAUUUGUGUCACAUAUUGUCAGUUUGUUCAGUAAGAAAUCAUCUCCUCAGAUGACGCACAUUUCUGGCUUAAUGGCUUCGUCAACAAACAAAGUUGUCGGUAUUGAGGAGAGUCAUAUCCACGUGUGGUCCAGGCAACGCAAUGGCAUCCCUAAGAAUCUACCGUGUGUAGCAGAAUGUGGUAUGGCGGUAUUAUGGGGGCUUAUUUAUCUCGAAAUGAGGCGGAAAUAUUAUUAUCGUCAAUAGAUAACAUUAUAACACGAUGUUGUCCGAAUUUUUCCCCAGAUUUGGCGGCAUGAAAAUAUCGAGAAAUGGUUCUGUCAAAAUAUUGGGAUUUUACGCCUCUGUGUUAAUUUCUCUGGGCGUAUGUUAAAUCUAAUGUUUACGCCAAACAACCAGCAAAGGUUGAGAAGCUUGCAAGCAACGCUGCACCGGUGUUUUAUUUCACUUUAACAUGAUGUCGUUCUUGUUGAUAGACCCUUUAUGAAAUUAUAUAUGAAUAUGUAGCUGCAACAAACAAACUAAAUGUGUUUGAAAAAUAAAAUACUAAUACAAUACUUGUAUAGUUAAUGAGAGUACACCAACGUAAACAAAAAUCAUCACAAAGUUCGUGUGUACCAGUGUUAUCACUGCAUUGUGGAACCUCAAGUGAAGCAAAUUUAGUUCAGAUUUGAAAGCCUCUGUGCACAGUCAAAAUUUAUUUUUCGCCGCUCAUUUGAAAAAAAAACAGACAUGAAGCUUAUAUACUUAUUAUUCUUAUGUAUUUGUCUCGUAACGGCAAAAGAAAGUAUUGUACUAGAUAACAUUACCGAGACAUAUAAGUCUGUUUUUGUAUCUAGACCAAGUAUCAGAUGUCAAAGAGUUAAUCAUCGUGGCCAAUGUAUUGGUGGAAGCUCUAAAUAAAACGAAUACAAAAAUUUAUAAGAAAAUUAAGACUUGAUAUGAUGACAUCAUUAUAAUCGCUAAUCACUUCG
rnacentral:lncRNA from 1 species